rnacentral:rRNA from 1 species
UUGAACGCUGGCGGCAUGCCUAACACAUGCAAGUCGGACGGUAACAGGCCCUUUGGGGUGCUGACGAGUGGCGGACGGGUGAGUAAUGCUUAGGAAUUUGUCCAGUAGUGGGGGAUAACCCGAGGAAACUCGGGCUAAUACCGCAUAUACCCUAUGGGGGAAAGCGGGGGACUCUUGGAGCCUCGUGCUAUUGGAGGAGCCUAAGUCCGAUUAGCUAGUUGGUGGGGUAAUGGCCUACCAAGGCGACGAUCGGUAGCUGGUCUGAGAGGACGGCCAGCCACACUGGGACUGAGACACGGCCCAGACUCCUACGGGAGGCAGCAGUGGGGAAUAUUGGACACGGGCGCAAGCCUGGUCCAGCGAUGCCGCGUGGGUGAAGAAGGCCUGCGGGUUGUAAAGCCCUUU